CACUUUAUUCUAAUACUACUCUUUUGGUUACUGAAAUCAGAGGUCUCCAGCUUUGCUCUUCUUUCUAAGAUUGUUUUGGUGUCCUCUGAGAGCCCAUAUUAACUGUAGGAUGGAUUUUUCUUUAUCUGAAAAAAAUCCAUUUGGGAUUUUAAUAAGAAUUGCAUUGGGCACUUUGGUGUUGGUGGGGGCAGCCUCAGAAAGUGUCAUGGCUGCUGCCGCCGAGCUUAGUCACCCGACCAUCAGUGACAGGAGCCUGGAGCGGAGCUGCAGCCCCAACCUCUCCCGAGACAUAGUCUGUGAAGUCUUUCGCUCCUUGCAAAACCUGGCUGGACAAGUUUGCCCCUUUGAAGCUUAACCUCAGAGAUGAUGUGGUGAAAAUUACAAUCGAUUGGAACAAGCUCCAGAGCCUCUCGGCACUCCAGCCUGCUUUUCUAUUUAGUGCACUUGAGCAACACGUUUUAUAUUUACAGACUUUUUUAGCAAAACUUCAGCCUCUGAUUAAAGAGGAGAAUGCAACUGUUGUUGAAGAAAUAGGAAAAACAGAAACGGGGAACAAGAAUGAAGUAAAUGCCAACUUUCCCAUUGGAUACCUGGAAGAGGAAGAAAAGCACAAAGACUGUGAUUCAGGAGAUGUGAAAAAGACACAGAUCCAUUUUGAUCCAGAAGUAGUUCAGAUAAAGGCUGGAAAAGCAGAAAUUGACAGACGAAUAUCUGCAUUUAUUGAAAGAAAGCAAGCUGAAAUCAAUGAAAACAACGUCAGGGAAUUUUGCAAUGUUAUUGACUGUAAUCAAGAAAAUAGUUGUGCAAGAAUUGAUGCGAUUUUUACUCCUUACCCUGGGUUUAAAAGUCAUGUAAAAGUUUCUAGAGUUGUGAAUACAUAUGGACCACAGACUAGAUCUGAAGGAACUCAAGGGUCAGGUCAUAAACCUAACAGCAUGCUCCAAGAUUGUGGUAUUCAGGCUGUAGAAGAACGACUACAGAAUAUCGAGGCUCACUUGCGAUUGCAAACAGGUGGUCCAGUGCCAAGAGACAUUUAUCAGAGAAUCAAAAAACUUGAGGACAGAAUCCUUGAAUUGGAAGGCAUCUCUCCUGAAUAUUUUCAAUCUGUAAACUUUUCUGGAAAAAGAAGAAAAUUCAACCACCUCAACAGAACUAUUCACUGGCUGAACUUGAUGAGAAAAUUAGUGCCCUCAAACAAGCUCUGCUCAGAAAAUCAAGAGAAACAGAAUCCAUGGCGACACGUCACCUUCCAUGAAAAACUCCUCUCAUUGUCAUUUAUUUUUUUAGAUAUGUGUGUGUAACUUACAUAUCCAUUUAAUUAAUUGCAGUGUUUUUAUUAAUAGUAGACUUACCUCUGAAAUCAAGGUUUAUUUUCAUGUGAGUCCACUUUGUAGCAAGCAGUCUUUAAAUAUUCCAGUAUACUUUAAGAUAGUUAAUGCGUCGAAAGUAGCAUUGUUGGAAUUUAUUCCCUUCUGUUUUAAAGGAGGUAUUUUGAACAUUGAAAACCUUAAUUAGAAAGUACAUCUUUGUGUGUAUGUGUGUUUAUCACAGAAAGGAAGAUUUAUUUUGAAUAGUGAUGUUUAAGACUUUAUAUUUUUAAUGUUGAUGUUAACCAGUUUUAGUUUAAAACAGUAAUUUGUACAUAAUAGGCAUUCAAUAAAGUUUGAAAUGAAUUUUAAGUGCA